rfam:Ovis aries breed Texel chromosome 1, whole genome shotgun sequence.
UCCCUAGUGGCCCUUUGGUUAAGGCUCUGAACUCCCAAUGCAGGAAACACAAGUUCGAACCCUGGUUAGGGAA